CGGAACAAACCUUAGUCAGGGGCAAAGGCAGCUGCUUUCAAUUGCUAGGGCGGCGGUUGCAAAUCCGCCUGUUCUUA
rnacentral:tRNA from 1 species